CACCGCCCGUCACAUCACGAAAGUGAGCUGUACUAGAAGUCGCCCAGCCAACCGUAAGGGGCAGGCGCUCAAGGUAUGGCCCAUGAUUGGGGUG
rnacentral:rRNA from 1 species